GGACGGGUGAGUAACGCGUGGGUAACCUGCCUUAUACAGGGGGAUAACAGUCAGAAAUGGCUGCUAAUACCGCAUAAGCGCACAGAGCUGCAUGGCUCAGUGUGAAAAACUCCGGUGGUAUAAGAUGGACCCGCGUUGGAUUAGCUUGUUGGUGGGGUAACGGCCCACCAAGGCGACGAUCCAUAGCCGGCCUGAGAGGGUGAACGGCCACAUUGGGACUGAGACACGGCCCAGACUCCUACGGAGGCAGCAUG
rnacentral:rRNA from 1 species